GGUUAAGCGAAUAAGCGUACACGGUGGAUGCCUAGGCAAUCAGAGGCGAUGAAGGACGUGCUAAUCUGCGAUAAGCGUCGGUAAGGUGAUAUGAACCGUUAUACCCGACG
rnacentral:rRNA from 1 species